UGCUGUUAGGCCCUGCAAUGCACACACUGAAGGAGCGCCGCCUGAUGGGCUGAUGAGGGGUGCAGCUGUGUGCAACGAACAUUGGUACGAAAAAUGAAACUUAAUGUACGCCGGAUUAUUACAUUUAUU